rnacentral:rRNA from 1 species
AGUGAACGCUGGCGGUAGGCCUAACACAUGCAAGUCGAACGGCAGCACAGUAAGAGCUUGCUCUUACGGGUGGCGAGUGGCGGACGGGUGAGGAAUACAUCGGAAUCUACUUUUUCGUGGGGGAUAACGUAGGGAAACUUACGCUAAUACCGCAUACGACCUACGGGUGAAAGCAGGGGAUCUUCGGACCUUGCGCGAUUGAAUGAGCCGAUGUCGGAUUAGCUAGUUGGCGGGGUAAAGGCCCACCAAGGCGACGAUCCGUAGCUGGUCUGAGAGGAUGAUCAGCCACACUGGAACUGAGACACGGUCCAGACUCCUACGGGAGGCAGCAGUGGGGAAUAUUGGACAAUGGGCGCAAGCCUGAUCCAGCCAUACCGCGUGGGUGAAGAGGGCCUUCGGGUUGUAAAGCCCUUUUGUUGGGAAAGAAAAGCAGCAGGUUAAUACCCCGCUGUUCUGACGGUACCCAAAGAAUAAGCACCGGCUAACUUCGAG